rnacentral:lncRNA from 1 species
UGGGAUAAUAGUAAACUGCAAUUAAAAUUUAAAAGAGCUUUUUUGUGUAGAGAACUAAAUAGAGAUAAGAUGUACUUGAAUGAAGAAGCUUUUUGAAUAUUGGUUAAGAUAAAAAUAUCGGCUAUUAUUGCAGCAGGUGUUUGGCAGUUCUGGCUCCCAUACAUUGUUCUGGUGAGUGGGAAGGAGCCCAGAAGGAGGACAGUCACCCCUGCUGCUCUGAAGAUUGGAUACUCUUUCUCUAUGGAAGGAAAUGACUCUGAAGAGCAAAAAUGAAGGAUGAACAGAUUUCAACAGCAGGAGUAACUGUGACUAAAAGACAUAUUGGAGAGAAAACUUCAGGGAGCAGCAGAAAAUAAAGAAUGAAAUCAGCUGUUAACAUAAUGAAAUGCGUAUGUAAAACUUAUCUGACUUUUCCAAAGAUGCAGAUGCAGAAAUCUAGAAACUUGAUCCUAACUUCUAAGAGCAAGACAAGGGGGGGAAAUUUCUACUGUGAUGAAAAAAGUACCUACAACAUCACCCAAGGAGCAUCGUCAGAAAUAGCAGCUGUUGGGUUAGAGUCACAAACAGCCAUGAUCUGUCUUGCCUUCAAAUGGAUGGUGUUGCAUGUGAGCAAAUCAUUGUGAUGCUGGUAUGGGUGCGGAGCUGUUUCACAUUGCCUGGUUCCUUAAUCCAUGUGAUUACAUCUUUGCAAGAUCAAGUGUUUGUUGUGUCUAUACAAGGGCUGUUGUUAUUUGCAGUGAUGCUUUGUAGUUAGCAGUUUAUAGACUGCCUUGCAGUGAAUACUGUAUGUAUACAUAUACUUGCAAAUUCAUUGGCUGUUAAAAGAAGAACCCGUAUUUAAAACAAUAAUUAAAGUUCUGGGUUUUUGUUUGGUUGGUUUGUUGUUGUUGUUGUUGUUGUUUUUGCAUGGCAAUCUUUCAUUUUUCUCUGGAGAGAAAAAUAAGGGACUCUGAAUUAUAUUUCAGCUUGUCAAAUAAUCAGUGUGCUACUUUCAUUUUUUAUCAUACUUUGCCGAUAUGAGACAAAGUCCUU